rnacentral:rRNA from 1 species
GAUGAACGCUGGCGGCGUGCCUAAUACAUGCAAGUCGAGCGAACGGACUAGAAGCUUGCUUCUCUGAUGUUAGCGGCGGACGGGUGAGUAACACGUGGAUAACCUACCUAUAAGACUGGGAUGACUUCGGGAAACCGUAGCUAAUACCGGAUAAUAUUUUGAACCGCAUGGUUCAAAAGUGAAAGACGGUCUUGCUGUCACUUAUAGAUGGAUCCGCGCUGCAUUAGCUAGUUGGUAAGGUAACGGCUUACCAAGGCAACGAUGCAUAGCCGACCUGAGAGGGUGAUCGGCCACACUGGAACUGAGACACGGUCCAGACUCCUACGGGAGGCAGCAGUAGGGAAUCUUCCGCGAUGGGCGAAAGCCUGACGGAGCAACGCCGCGUGAGUGAUGAAGGUCUUCGGAUCGUAAAACUCUGUUAUUAGGGAAGAACAUAUGUGUAAGUAACUGUGCACAUCUUGACGGUACCUAAUCAGAAAGCCACGGCUAACUACGUG